rnacentral:rRNA from 1 species
AGUGAACGCUGGCGGCGUGCUUAACACAUGCAAGUCGAACGAGAACGGGUUAUAGCUUGCUAUAAUUGUCAGCUAAGUGGCGCACGGGUGAGUAAUGUAUAGGUAAUAUGCCUCUUACUAAGGGAUAACAAAUGGAAACGUUUGCUAAUACCUUAUACUCCUUAUUAACCUAAGUUAAUAAGGGAAAGAUUUAUUGGUAAGAGAUUAGCCUGUAUUGUAUCAGUUAGUUGGUGGGGUAAUGGCUUACCAAGACUAUGACACAUAACUGGUUUGAGAGGAUGAUCAGUCACACUGGAACUGAGACACGGUCCAGACUCCUACGGGAGGCAGCAGUGGGGAAUAUUGCACAAUGGACGAAAGUCUGAUGCAGCAACGCCGCGUGGAGGAUGACACAUUUCGGUGCGUAAACUCCUUUUAUAUGAGAAGAUAAUGACGGUACCAGAUGUAAGCCACGGCUAACUUCGUGCCAGCAGCCGCGGUAAU